rnacentral:rRNA from 1 species
GACGAACCGUGCGAACGUUAUUCGGAAUCACUGGGCCUAAAGCGCGUGUAGGCGGCCCGGCACGUCUCUGGCUGAAAUCCCCCGGCUCAACCGGGGAAGUGGCCGGGAUACGACCGGGCUGGAGGGGGGUAGGGGGGACGGGAACUCCGGGUGGAGCGGUGAAAUGCGUUGAGAUCCGGAGGAACGCCCGCGGCGAAAGCGCGUCCCUGGACCCCGCCUGACGCUGAGACGCGAAAGCCAGGGGAGCGAACGGG